CAGUAGCCGCGGGAAUACGGAGGGUGCAAGCGUUAAUCGGAAUUACUGGGCGUAAAGCGUGCGUAGGCGGCUAAUUGAGUCGGAUGUGAAAUCCCCGAGCUUAACUUGGGAAUUGCAUUCGAUACUGGUUAGCUAGAGUGUGGGAGAGGAUGGUAGAAUUCCAGGUGUAGCGGUGAAAUGCGUAGAGAUCUGGUGGAAUACCGAUGGCGAAGGCAGCCAUCUGGCCUAACACUGACGCUGAGGUACGAAAGCAUGGGGAGCAAACAGGAUUAGAUACCCGAGUAGUCCCUGUCUCUUAUAA
rnacentral:rRNA from 1 species